ensembl:lncRNA
CAUUUUUUGACUUUUGUUAAUGGCUGCAAGAACAUAAAUAUAGGACAUAGUACUCCUGCAUUGGCAUUUUCCCCUUCUUCAUGCAAGCCUUUAAAUGAUGAAUUUUUGGUUAUUCUUUGGAACAGUAGCAACUGUCAUGGUUCUGAGUCUGUGACCCACUGUUACUGUCAUGGUCCACGGUGGGUGGCUGAAAUUUCCAUGAGGUUCCUGAACCUACCUGGGAUCCGCCCCUGGACAGGGCCACCUUCUCCAGCUUCUGCACACCUAGAGCCAAUUUUCCUGGAUUCAUUUUGCCUCAAACCCUCAGCUCACGCUCCACCUUCGCACUCAAGAUACCAAACAGUCAUUCUGAGAAUCACUCUGUACCUCACCUGCCUGCUCUCCUGCCAUCACACUCCAUCUGCAGGCCACGGAUCUCAGGUAGCCCUAGCCACGCCAUUCAGCACCCCUGGAUUCUUGGGCCCAGGGAGAGAAUCUCUCUGGGCUGAGGCUUACCUGUUGCCCAUCUGCUCCCAACCUGCUCGUAUGAUGAUUUUCUGGCUUACUGCUUACUCUCUGCUCCUGGGCAUGACUGUUGUAGCUUUCUUCAUGACUUGGAGUGGGUGGAGAAAAUGGUUUAUAAAAAAAAUUAGUUGGUGCAACAAGAAAACUUUUUACUACAAACUGAUUUUGGAAGAAGAGAAAAAAGUUCUGGAGGAGCUUUUGAGGAAAGAAGCAAAUGAGACUUUGACUAAAGAAAUUAUGAGCAACAUAAAAAGGAAAGACUGGGACGGCUGUUUUAAUGUUGCUCAACAAAUGAUCAAUAAAGCAAAACACCAAAAACCAGAAGCAACCAACCAGCAGAUCAACUGGAUCAGUGAGGGGAGCUCCAACAGAGGGGGACAGCAUCAUCAAGCAGCAGCACAUCAGCAGGCACAAAACUAUGAACUUGAUGCAGUGGCAAAAGAAAACACAGACACCAUGCCGUUAUUUAACGAAUCCGCCUGAAAGAACAUCAAGUGACACAGCUCCAGAAACAACGCAAGCGACCACAGACAAGUUAUACACCUUGUCACAGUGGUCGCUUCUUGUCAUCACAGCUGAGAGGGGAUAAAAAGUCUUAAUGUCCAGCCUAAUGUGAUUAAAAAUGAUCAGAGUGCUAAAACAGAACUUUCCCUUUUUCCCUAAAAUAUAAGUUUGAUCGACAUAAUAAUGAGAAAAGUUGUUUGAGUAGUACAAAUGACUGUUCUAAUGUCAUUGUUUCGUUGUGUGUGUGUGUGUGUGUGUGUGUGUGUGUGUGUGUGUGUGUGUGUGUGUGUGUGUUAGUGGCUAGAUCCACUGAUCUCAAUGAAUGCCUGACUUUUAAAUUGAUUUAAUAAAAAGUUGUAUGAAAUAAAUGGUGAAUAACAAACAGUUUUUGAAAGGAUGCAUUUCUCAGUAUUUGAAUUAAAUAGGGAUUAUGUUACAAUGAAUGUUCAUGUGAAAAUGUGCUAAAGACAAAUCUAACUGAAAUAGAAUUACAUAAACUGAGUGAAACAUGAAGUGAAUUAUAUCCAUAUAUGACCGA